UACGUAGGGUGCAAGCGUUGUCCGGAAUUAUUGGGCGUAAAGAGCUCGUAGGCGGUUUGUCGCGUCGAAUGUGAAAACCCGGGGCUCAACCCCGGGCCUGCAUUCGAUACGGGCAGACUAGAGUUCGGUAGGGGAGUCUGGAAUUCCUGGUGUAGCGGUGAAAUGCGCAGAUAUCAGGAGGAACACCGAUUGCGAAGGCAGCUCGCUGGAACGUUACUGACGCUGAGACGCGAAAGCGUGGGGAGCAAACAGG
rnacentral:rRNA from 1 species